UUGGAGGGCAAGUCUGGUGCCAGCAGCCGCGGUAAUUCCAGCUCCAAUAGCGUAUAUUAAAGUUGUUGCAGUUAAAAAGCUCGUAGUUGAAUUUCGGGGUCAGUAGGUUGGUCAUGCCACUGGUAUGUACUGGUCUCACUGAUUCCUCCUUCCUGAUGAGCUGUAAUGCCAUUAAUUUGGUGUUGCGGGGAAUCUGGACUGUUACUUUGAAAAAAUUAGAGUGUCUAAAGCAGGCUAACGCCUGAAUACAUUAGCAUGGAAUAAUGAAAUAGGACGUUCGAUCCUAUUUUGUUGGUUUCUAGGAUUGACGUAAUGAUUAAUAGGGAUAGUUGGGGGCAUUAGUAUUCAAUUGUCAGAGGUGAAAUUCUUGGAUUUAUUGAAGACUAACUACUGCGAAAGCAUUUGCCAAGGAUGUUUUCAUUAAUCAAGAACGAAAGUUAGGGGAUCGAAGACGAUCAGAUACCGUCGUAGUCUUAACCAUAAACUAUGCCGACUAGGGAUCGGAUGAUGUUAAUUUUUUAAUGACUCAUUCGGCGCCUUACGGGAAAC
rnacentral:rRNA from 1 species